rnacentral:rRNA from 1 species
GUGAAAUUGAACUCGCUGUGAAGAUGCAGUGUACCCGCGGCAAGACGGAAAGACCCCGUGAACCUUUACUAUAGCUUGACACUGAACAUUGAGCCUUGAUGUGUAGGAUAGGUGGGAGGCUUUGAAGUGUGGACGCCAGUCUGCAUGGAGCCGACCUUGAAAUACCACCCUUUAAUGUUUGAUGUUCUAACGUGGACCCGUUACCCGGGUUGCGGACAGUGUCUGGUGGGUAGUUUGACUGGGGCGGUCUCCUCCUAAAGAGUAACGGAGGAGCACGAAGGUUGGCUAAUCCUGGUCGGACAUCAGGAGGUUAGUGCAAUGGCAUAAGCCAGCUUGACUGCGAGCGUGACGGCGCGAGCAGGUGCGAAAGCAGGUCAUAGUGAUCCGGUGGUUCUGAAUGGAAGGGCCAUCGCUCAACGGAUAAAAGGUACUCCGGGGAUAACAGGCUGAUACCGCCCAAGAGUUCAUAUCGACGGCGGUGUUUGGCACCUCGAUGUCGGCUCAUCACAUCCUGGGGCUGAAGUAGGUCCCAAGGGUAUGGCUGUUCGCCAUUUAAAGUGGUACGCGAGCUGGGUUUAGAACGUCGUGAGACAGUUCGGUCCCUAUCUGCCGUGGGCGCUGGAGAACUGAGGGGGGCUGCUCCUAGUACGAGAGGACCGGAGUGGACGCAUCACUGGUGUUCGGGUUGUCAUGCCAAUGGCACUGCCCGGUAGCUAAAUGCGGAAGAGAUAAGUGCUGAAAGCAUCUAAGCACGAAACUUGCCCCGA